ensembl:miRNA
UUCUCUCUGCUUUUAGCUUCUUUACAGUGUUGCCUUGUGGCAUGGAGUUCAAGCAGCAUUGUACAGGGCUAUCAAAGCACAGAGAGC